rnacentral:rRNA from 1 species
UACGUAGGGUGCGAGCGUUUGCCCGGAUUUAUUGGGCGUAAAGGGCGCGUAGGCGGCCACGCACGUCCGUUGUGAAAUCGCCCGGCUCAACUGGGCGGGGUCAGCGGAUACGGUGUGGCUCGAGCAAGCUAGGGGGCAAUGGAAUUCCCGGUGUAGUGGUGGAAUGCGUAGAUAUCGGGAGGAACACCAGUGGCGAAGGCGGUUGCCUGGAGCUUUGCGUGACGACUGAGGCG